AGCUUUCGGUGAUAAUUCAUCAAUUGUCUGGGUGUGCCAGAUUCUCGCUGCAAGAAUUGAACAUAAGAGGAAAUCAAAUCAAUGGUACGCUUUCUGACCUUUCAAUAUUCUCUGCCUUGAAAACAUUGGAUCUUUCACGAAAUCAAUUAAAUGGAAAAAUUCCAGAGAGUACCAAAUUGCCAUCUCUGUUGGAGUCUUUGUCAAUUGGAUCAAACUCUUUAGAAGGUGGAAUUCCCAAAUCAUUUGGGAAUGCAUGUGCUUUGCGCUCAUUGGACAUGUCUAAUAAUAGCUUGAGUGAAGAGUUUCCAAUGAUAAUCCAUCACUUGUCUGGAUGUGCUAGAUAUUCAUUGGAAAAAUUAGAUCUAGGCAUGAAUCAAAUCAAUGGCACACUACCAGACCUCUCAAUAUUCUCAUCUUUAAAAAAAUUAUAUCUUGACGGAAACAAGUUAAAUGGAGAGAUUCCUAAAGAUUAUAAAUUUCCACCUCAACUGGAGCAACUAGAUAUGCAAUCAAAUUCCUUAAAGGGUGUGCUCACUGACUAUCAUUUCGCUAAUAUGUCAAAGUUAAACUACUUGGAGUUAUCUGACAACUCUUUAGUGACCUUGGCAUUUAGCCAAAAUUGGGUCCCACCAUUUCAGUUGACGUACAUAGGAUUGCGAUCGUGCAAGCUAGGUCCAGUAUUUCCCAAAUGGUUGGAGACACAAAAUCAAUUUGAGUAUAUUGACAUUUCAAAUGCUGGAAUAGCAGAUAUGGUUCCAAAGUGGUUUUGGGCUAAUUUAGCAUUCCGAGAAUCGAUUUCAAUGAAUAUUUCAUACAAUAAUCUCCAUGGUAUAAUUCCUAAUUUUCCAACAAAGAAUAUUCAAUAUUCUCUAAUUCUUGGACCAAAUCAAUUUGAUGGCCCUGUUCCACCAUUUCUGCGAGGUUCCCUAUUUCUUGAUUUAUCCAAAAAUCAAUUCUCAGAUUCUCUUUCAUUUUUAUGUGCUAAUGGUACAGUUGAAACUUUGUACGAAUUAGACCUUUCAAAUAAUCAUUUCUCUGGAAAAAUUCCGGACUGUUGGAGCCAUUUCAAGUCAUUAACUUAUUUGGACUUAAGUCACAAUAAUUUUUCAGGAAGGAUACCCAAAUCCAUGGGAUCUCUUCUUCAGCUUCAAGCAUUGCUAUUGAGAAACAACAACUUAACAGAUAAGAUACCUUUCUCCUUGAGGAGUUGCAAAAAGCUAGUAAUGCUAGAUAUUGCAGAAAACAGAUUAUCAGGGCUUAUCCCUGCUUGGAUUGGGAGCGAAUUACAAGUGUUGCAAUUUUUAUGUUUGGGAAGAAAUAAUUUCCAUGGAAGUUUACCAUUGCAAAUUUGCUACCUAAGUGACAUUCAACUCUUGGAUGUAUCACUAAACAGCAUGUCUGGGCAAAUUCCUAAAUGCAUAAAAUAUUUUACUUCAAUGACUCAAAAGACAUCUUCACAAGGUCAUUCAUAUUAUGUCAAUACCAAUCUCUUGGUUGGUAAUCAAACAUAUUAUUUGAAUGCAUUCUUGAUGUGGAAAGGUUCAGAACAAAUGUUCAAAAAUAAUGGGUUACUACUUCUAAAAAGCAUUGAUCUCUCAAGCAAUCACUUUUCUGGAGAAAUUCCACUGGAAAUAGAGAAUUUAUUUGGAUUGGUUUCAUUGAAUUUAUCAAGAAACCAUUUGACCGGAGCGAUUCCUUCAAAUAUUGGAAAGUUAACAUCACUUGACUUUCUUGAUUUGUCAAGAAACCAUCUUGUUGGUUCAAUUCCAUGGAGUCUUACUCAAAUUGAUCGACUCGGCGUGUUAGAUUUGUCACAUAACAAUCUAUCUGGAGAAAUUCCAACUGGUACACAAUUACAGAGUUUCAAUGCCUCAUGUUAUGAAGAUAAUCUUGAUCUUUGUGGACCGCCACUAGAGAAAUUGUGUAUUGAUGGGAAGCCUGCACAGGAACCAAUUGUUAAACUUCCUGAAGAUGAAAAAUUGCUCUUCACCCGUGAAUUUUACAUGAGUAUGGCAAUUGGAUUUGUUAUAAGCUUAUGGGGCGUCUUUGGCUCAAUCUUAAUAAAGCGUUCUUGGAGACAUGCUUAUUUCAAGUUCAUAAGCAAUUUAUCAGACGCUAUUUAUGUCAUGGUAGCAGUGAAAGUUUCCAAGUGGCGUCACAGAGGAUAGCUGGUAAUAAUAUUUUAGUCUUCGUAUAUAUACUUCAUUUUCCUUUAUAUGAUAAAUAGCAGUCACAAACCAUUGUUUACAACUAGAUGGCGUUUUUCUCUUUUGUUUUAACCUUUAGAUCCUCAAUUAAUAAAAAAAACAAUUAUUCAUCAACACGAACCUUAGUUUACUAUUACACCGUAGGUAAACAAGUUGUGGAUAGGAACAAAAUAUACUCAAAUUUUGUUGUGAGCAAGUGAGGAUUUUUUGUUUUCACUUUUAAUACAAAAAUGUUACUGCGUCCUAUUCUCAAAAAUUUGAAUGAGUGAAAACGAUGUUCUCAAAAAAGAUUCCAAAAAGGUCACAAUUUAUUAUUCAAAAACAGAGGAUCUAGUGAAAAUAAUGUUGUCAUUGGAUAUUUCUGGUAACAAGUUUAGUGAAGAACUGACAGUGAUAUUCAAUAACUUGUCUGAGUGUCCUAGAUACUCAUAGCAAGAACUGAAUCUAGGUUGGAAUAAAAUCCACGGCAUACUGCCUGAAUUCUUCACUAAAAGAAGACUAGCUAGAACAUAUAUGAUAUAUCUUUGAAUGAACUAGUUUAAUAUAUUUAAUUUUAUUUAUUUUCAUGUCAUUUCGGGGUAUUAGUUAAAUAAAUUAAAGGAAUGAUGAUUGUUAUGUAGGUUAUAAAACUUCUUUACACUAACAUUUCAUAUUAAACAAAUUAAUAUAAUUUAACCUAUUUUCUAAUCGCUAAAUAAUAACUCAAUAUAAAUUAUAUAUUUUUUUUCUUGAUAUAUCUUUUUCCUCGUAAGUUAUUAAAUAGAAAAUAAGUUUGAGGUAGUUUUUCUAUCUCAUUUUCUACAUCUUUAUAUAGCUUUUAGUCAUGGUGGUUUUCUUGGCAUUUCAAUUUUUUCUUUAUUCUUUUAUUACUUCUAGUUGAGGACAAAUUUUGAAGGAUCGAUAUUUUAAUUUUUGACAGAAAAAUUCUGAAUUCUAGGUGCCAGCUUGUGGAGGUGGAAAAUGCAAAGAGAUAGUUUUGGAGGUGAGAAGGCAUCUCUCACAGUUGGAUUUGGAGACUGAGAGAGAAUUAAGGAAGGCUUCUAGAGCUUGAGGGAGCCAAUUGUGAUUGUGAUCUAGUUUAUUUUCCUUUUUAAUUUCUAAGCAUUUUGUUGUAACUUUAGCCCUUAAAUCUGAACUGGUUGUUUUGUAUGAAGUUGAUGAAUCUUCACAAUAAUGAGAAUUGAGAUGUUUGGUUAUUGUUUCUUGAUUUUUGGGUCAUGCUCUUUGAUUAUGUAGAAAUAGUAAACUGUGUUUGAUCUAGGAAUUUUGUUGUGCUUUUGUACUUAGUCUCAUGAUUUCAUUUAAGGAAUUAAGUUAUACGAGAUUAAAAGGAUUCAUUGCCAAGGAAUUGAAUGUGAAUUACUGCAGCAAAAACUGAUCUUAAACUGAUCAAAAACUAAUCCUAUGUAAUCUUUAAAAAAUUUGGAUGAAAAGUUUUCAUGAUAAUAAAAUAAAAUAGAGAUAUAAUUAGAGAAAAUAAGUUGUGUAUUAACAAUAUUAAAUUAUUUUAUAUUGUCAUUCAAUUAUAUAUUUAUUAAUGUGAAUAUGAUAAGUUUGUGAAGUUUUAUAAAAAUUAUAUUAAAAUUAGUUAAUAGUAUUAAACUAUAUUUUCAUUAUAUAAUCAUUAAAUUAAUAAUUAUUGAUGUUCAAUACUUAAUCCAAAAAUAUUGGUGAUCUCCAUUAUUACUAUAAAUGUUUUUCUUAUAAACUAUUGUGAUUUUAAUUUAUCAUUAACUUUAUGUUAUUAUUCUUAUUACUUCAAUUUCUAGAAAUUUCUUUUUAUAGGUAUAAGAAUUUUAUUUAUUUUCAUUUACACAUUUUGGAAACUAACAUUCUAUUUUUAUUUUCUUUCCUUCUUUCUUUUUUAUUUUAUUUUAAUUUUCAGUCCCUACACUAGCCCUCUUGGAUGACUCCAAUGUAUUAGCUUUUUAAUGCUUGGAAAAGACAAUAAGUUAGAAAGUAUGAUUGUUUUACAUUUCUUCAGUGUCAAUUGAGAUACUUAUAUCAUGUUUUGAUAUUUUUAACAAGACUCUAGUUUUAUUAGCAUUAUGUUUGUAAUGAAAUAUAAAUUACAAUGUAUUAUAUUAAUAAUUUACCUGCAUCUUUCUCUUAAUCAAAAUUUCGGUUUGACAAAAAUAUUAUUGAGUUAAACAUUUGAUAAGGGCCUCAUUUUUAAUUUUUUAAGAAUAAAAAAAUUAAAAUAUUUCUUCCACAUAUUUUGAAUGAAUGAAUCUAUCAUAAUCAUUUUUUCAUAACUUGACACCAUAUGUUUCAAUUAUAUGGAGAUCACUCCAAUUUUCAAACUAUGUUUUUUAAGAAAGAAACAAUAAUAAUAAUCUAUAUUAUUAAUUAUUAAUCUAUACUAAUAAUAAACAAAAUAUCUUCAUUUGGUAUCCAUAUUACAUUGGAUAAUUUUAACUUUAAAUUAUUUCUUAUUUUGGAAUGUCUUUAAUUUUAAAACCAAGGAAAAUCUCAAGAUUGCAACCACUGCACCUAAAACGAUGUUAUUUUAAAGGCAAAAGUAGAUUUUAUGAAAAUUCACAGUAUUAUGACCACUAUUCAAAAACACAACAUUCAAAUUCUGUAACGGGCCACAGCUACUCUGUAUCACUAUAGUGCACUAUUAGUAACCAAGUUAAAAACAUUUUGAUGCAAUUCAAAUAUGUCCCUUUCAUCAGUGUAACGAUGGAACUUGGUGAUCUAAAAAAAAAAAAACAAUGGAACUAAGUAUUAUAUUUUGCUCCUUUUCAUCAAUCAAAAUAUAACCCAAAGAAAAUGCUGAAGUUACAUAACCCGAGGAUAGAAUGCAGGAUUUCUAAAAACUCCUUACAUGACUCCUUAUGAUCAUUUUAAAGUGUUAAGAGCGGGGAGAUGUCUGAACAAGUAUAAUUGUGAAAAGUUAAUAUUGUGACUACUCAUUUGAUGUAAUCAUAGAUGAAGGUGCGUCAUUUAGAAACUAGGAACCUGAACUAAUGUGUUAAUUAUAUAGGAUGGGGAAAUUUGAAUAGAUCAAACAGAAAUUCUGAAUAUUACUAAUCAUGGAUCUGUGAACUAAGUCAUUUCAUGCUUCAUUUCAUGCAUAAUAUGUGCUUGUAAAGUGAAACAAGAAAUUCUUGUUAUUCCAUACCAUUCAUGUUAUUUAGAAGCCCAUUUUUUUGCUUCGAGUCUGAAACUGCUACACGCAAACAGUUCAAUACAAAGAAAAUAAAAAUAUACUCAAAUUGAGAAACCAAAGCUCUAAUGUGAGUGGAAAUCAUGCCUUUGAUGGUGAUUCACUAGAGCUGGCAGCAGGGGUAUCAUUCCCCUGAUUGAGAUGUAAGUGCCUCUAGCGUCUUGGGAAAUUCUGUGGAGAGGAACAAAAUAUACUCAAAUUUUGUUGUGAGCAAGUGAGGAUUUUUUGUUUUCACUUUUACAACAAAAAUGUUACUGCGUCCUAUUCUCAAAAAUUUGAAUGAGUGAAAACGAUGUUCUAAAAAAAGAUUCCAAAAAGGUCACAAUUUAUUAUUCAAAAACAGAGGAUCUAGUGAAAACAAUGUUGUCAUUGGAUAUUUCUGGUAACAAGUUUAGUGAAGAACUGACAGUGAUAUUCAAUAACUUGUCUGAGUGUCCUAGAUACUCAUAGCAAGAACUGAAUCUAGGUUGGAAUAAAAUCCACGGCAUACUGCCUGAAUUCUUAAUGUUUUUUGAAGUUGGAAACAUUGGUCCUAUCAGGGAAUCAAUUAAAGGGUGGAGUUCCAAAAUCACUUCAAAAUGCAAGUUAUUUGCUCUCACUGAUGCUAUCCAAUAUCAGUUUGAGUGGAGAUCCUCCACUGAUAAUCCAUAACUUAUCUAGAUAUAUUGGAUACUCAUUGGAAGAAUUAGAUUUGGGCAUGAAUCAAAUGGCACUCUUCCAAACACUCUCUCAGUGUUCCCAUCUUUAAGAAGAUUGUACCUUUACAGGAACAAGCUAAAUGGGACAAUUUCUGAAGAUGUUGGAUUUCCAGCUCGCCUAGAACAACUAGAUUUGAGUUCAAACGCUUUAUCUGAUAACUCAUUGGCUCUGGAAUUUAGCCAAAACUGGGACCCAUGUUUUCAAUUGAAUUAGAUAGGAUUGAGAUCUUGCAAGUUAGGUCAGACAUUUCCCAAAGGACUUUAGCUAUCUUGAAUCAAAUCAAUUUGAUGGUCCCAUUCCACCACUUUUACGAGGUUUCAUAUUUCUUGAUUUAUUCCAUAACAAAAGAUGAACAUCCCUGUAUAAAAAAAUGAAUAAGAAUAAUUUUAUUACAUUUCUGAAAUAUAGAUUAAAUUGUUUAUAAAAUAUUAAUUUCUAAUUAAUAGUCAAUAAUGAUAGGAUGCUUGAAUGUGCAUAUAUAUAUAUAUAUAUUCGAGGAAAGAUCUCCAAUCUAAAUCUUGAUAUUUUCUUAUCUCAAAAUGUCUUUUAAAACUACAAAUCAUUUAUGAUUAUAUUAAUAACGUAAGAUUAUCAUUUUUGGAUAAAUGAUUUGUUUAAAAAGUAUAUAAUGCGUUGAAAGAAUUUUAUUAUUAUUAACUUCAAUUACUAGAGUUUUAAAAUGACAUCCAUUAAUAUUAAUAUAUUUAAUUUUAUAUCAUUUCGUAUUAGUUAAAUAAAUGUAAUAAACAAUGAUGGUAAUAAAACUUAAGUAGCGGAGUAGGCUAUACAACUUUUACUUAUUUUCUGAUCGCAAAACUAUAUUUUUCUUCCUUUUUUAUAUAUCAUUUUUCUCCUUGGAAGUUAUUUAGUUUCAAAUUGAGCAUAAGUUUGAGGGGUAGUUUUUCUAUCUCAUUGUCUAUUUCUUAAGCUUUUAGUCUUUAUAAUUUUCUUGGGAUUUCAUAUUUUCUUCAUUCUCUUAUUAUAUCUAUUUAAGGAACACUUUUGAAGGAUAUCUUAAUUUUUGGGAGAAAAAAUCUGGAUUAUAGGUGCCAGCUUGUUGAUGUGGAAAAAUGCAAAGAGAUCUCUCACGGUUGGAUUUGGAGAGAGAAUAAAGGAAGCCUUUUCUAGAUUUAUUAUUUUCUUUAAAAGUGGAUGACUAAGGGAUCUUAUGUCUUAUAUAUUUUGAGUUAAUAAUGGGUUGCUAAUUUUCGGGCUUGAGGGAGCCAAUUGGAAUUGUGAUCUAGUUAUUUUUGGAUGAUAUUAAAAAGGUUCAUUGUCAAGGAAUUGAACUUGAACUACUUUAGCCAAAAAUGAUCUUAGAUUCAAGCACAGUUGUUUGGAUUAGGUGGAAGUUAGGUGGUUACUUAAACAAUCCCUAAAAUCAAAACAUAACCUUCCUUCAUCAUUUGCGAAAGAAUUUAAAUCAGUUGACUAAAUUUCUAGCUAAUUCAUUUUAAUUUCUUUUUAAUAUCUAACUUCAUUACAAAUUUAAAUUCAGAGUUUCUUUCAAUUCUAAUAGCAUUCAACUAGUUCGAUUUAAAGAAAAAUAAUUUCAGUUGCACAACUGUAAAAGCAGUACAGUUUAAAGACAAUUCAAUUUACAAAAUUCUACUGUCAUAUAUAAUACAGCACACCUAAAAUGUUUGGUGUAAAAUAUUCCCACUUCCUACAAAGCCAUUGCAUCUUCCAAAACCAUGCAUGACAUAACAUGAAUCCCCUAAUACAGGUGCUCAUUUGUUUGUAGACAACUCAAACGAAAACCAAGAACCCAUUCCAAAACAUAGUGCAUAAUGAUCUACACGUCCUUUAGAGAAUAGAUGCAUGUUGCAGAACUUGUGCUUUUCUGGCAUGGGAAUCAUGGUAUCUCUGUGACAUUUGGGAUAUAGUGAGACAUUUAGGCAUGCUUUGAGUUCAACAUCUCUGGUGAAGGACUCCUUCCUUUGUUGAAACGUAUCAUUGAAGAUGAAUUGUAACAAAUCCAAUAAUAAAGUAGCAUUCCACAAUCUAAAGGAAGUGAGUCAGCUAUUGUUAUCACUGCUUUAACUCAUUCAUUACGGAUCCUUCUGACGCAAAACUUGCAUCCACCUGCAUAUACGUAAGUUCAUGUAGAUGGGAAAAGAUAUUCUAUUGCAAAUAACACUUUCCUUCUUCCACUCGUGUGAUAUUUAGUAUGAAAUCUUUGGUUACAAGUUACCAUUUUAAGUGGAAAAAAAAUGGAUCAGAUGACCCUAGUGCCAUAUAUCUAUUACCGUAUUCAAUUGAACCAACGUUUUUAAAUUUCUAGAUUUUAAAAAUCCACUUUUGACUAGUUCAUGCAGUAUUGUACAAAUGCCCAAAUCAAGUACUCCAUAUCCAUUUGAAUGAAAUUUAAAGUUCACCCUACCUGACUCUUAGCCUGUCUCAUGUCUUCCAUGUUUAAAGGCCUCGCUUUAAUUUCUUGUUCUUCCUUGUCUUUAUUGUUUGAAGCAUCUUCGGAGCUUUGGCCUUCUGCUUCUCUUUGCUUCUUUUCCUAACAUAUUGCAACAUAUAUUUAGUUAGAUCUUCAGCUCAUACCAAUGUUUGCAUGGAUGGAGAUGUCAAACUUAAAAGAGUAGAAGAAGUUGUUUAAUAGCUAGCAUGUCUUUCAUUCUCUUCCUCAUGGCCUCAUGCUCUCCUAUUCUAGUCCUCUGUCCAAUCAUACUAUCAACCUUACCAGGCAGUGUGAACAGAGCUCCAAUGUUUUUUUCAUCCUCUCCAAAGCAUUUUGAUGUGAAUGAAGGUUGACAUUGAGACAUUAAUGAAACUUGAACACUAGCUUCAUUUGCAAUUGCCUUUGCUAGCAUUUUUUUCCAGUACCAGGAGGCCCAAAAAGCAAUAUAGCUCUGUUUGAAUUUGGGUCGCUGAUUUAUUGAUCACCAUUUAUAUGCUCUGAAUCAACUAUGUUUAAGUAGACAAGAAGCAUAGAAAAGUGCAAACGACAUUUGUUCCAUCAUCUAAAAGAGGGAGACGCUCUAAUCUCAAAUAUAAUGCUAUGUUUAACCAGAAAACUAAUAUGAAUGAUAACAAAUCAACAAUAAGUGUUACGUGCACAUAAUUAGCACUAGGUAACAUUUGUAUAACAACAUAAGCCAUCUUUUGAUUACAAAAAGUACACAUUAAAGUAUGAUAUCAGGAAAACACCACACAUUUAUCAGGAAAGAUGCAUCAUUCAUCUCCUGCAGCUGCCCUGUUUCCAACCCAAGAUACUGAUAUUAAAAAAAUGCAACAAUCUAUUUAUAAUAUAUAAUUUCUGAGAUGUGCAACAAUAGGAUUACACAUCAUUACUAUAUUUUUUCGCCUCAUGCUUAAUUAGUAAGAAUCAUUAGAAGCUAAAAAUAAAUUUUAAAAAAGCUGAAUUUCAUACCCUGCUGCGUGCAAUAGUUCAACGUAGAAUUAAGCCUUUAAAUAGUACCCCCUACUAAGUGUUCGAAUUUGUUGCUGUCAUAACUGAGGAUGUUGAAACCUGAUUUGGCUUCAGAUAAAAGAAAGAAGCUUGAUGGUUUUACCAUAUUCAUCAAUGGAGAAACUGAGGAUAUGAAGGAAGCAAACAUGGGGAAAAGGGACCUGUAAUCUUUAGAAUCAGAGCUGAAGUAUGAUUUUCUGAAGAUUUUAGCAUGGCAUAGUGCCUUUUUGACAAGCUCUGGUAUAAUUCGUAUUCCUAGGGAAAUGUAUUCAAUUGAUUUUCAUUCAUUUUUUUGUAUUCAUGACUAUAUUUAUCCUAAGGAAUUCUAGAAGUAGAGGAGUUGUUCAAUACUUCAGAUUCAUGGCACAGUAAGAAUGGUUUUUCUUUUUUAUUUUCUCGCUAAACUGUUUUUCUAUAUAAAAAAUUGGGUACUUAGCUACUUCCCCAAUACUUUUUCUUAUUUUCUCUCUCAUUUUUUUGGUUAUUAUUUGUUCCAUUUUUUCUGGCGUGCCAUUACAUUGCAGUGGCUAUAUCUUUUUAAAAACUGUAAGCACUUCAACCAUAUAAGUGUUUGUCUUUGCUAAACCCCAAUGACCGGUGUUGUAAAGUUAUUAAAGAGACCAACAUGCCCUGUUGAUUCAGGAAUCUCUCACAAAAGUUGGAUAUGUAGCUACUUCCUCAAUACUUUUUCUUUGAUUUCUCUUAUUUUCUAUGAUUUCAUAAUUUAAAAUCACAUUUUACUACUUCCUUAUUUCUUAUUAGCUAUGACUUCAUCACUUAUUUUUGCUCGACAGUUCUACAGAGGAGACCUUUUGUUGAACAAAAUUAUUGCACUUUGCACCAGGGAACAGAGAGGAUUAGGCGCAAUCCCCCUUUCUUAUUAGGCGCUAUGACUUCAUCACUUAUACUCAUUAAUCAAAUUAUUACUAAGUACAUUAAGUUCUUCGAAAUCUCCUUCAGAUAUUUAUUGAGUUUCUGGUAACUUAUACUAUAUAGGUUAAUGUAUGACUAGUCAAUGUUCACUAUACCAACAUUUAUGCUUAUAUUCGAUUCAUAGAUCAAAUUAUUAUUAAGCAGAUUGAGUUAUUCAAAAUCUACAUAAGAUAUUCAUUGAGUUCCUCAUAACUUAGUAUUAGACAAAUCAGUGUAUGACUAGUCAAUGCUUAGUGUACUAAUAUUUAUACUUGUAUUCAAACCAUUGAUCAAAUUGCUAUUAAGAAUAUUGAGUUUUUUAAAAUCUCCAUCAAAUAUUUAUUAAGUUUCUCGUAACUUGUAUUGAACAGGUUAGUGUAUGACUAGUCAACACUCAAUGUACCAAUAUUUAUAUUUGUAUUCAAUUCAUUGACCAAAUUACUACUAAAUAUAUUGAGCACUUGAAAAUCUUUGUCAAAUAUUUGUGGAGUUUCUCCUAUUCAGGAUUAGACAUAUCAAUGUUUGACCAAAAUAGUUGAGCUAGUGCAUCAAAAUUUGUGCCUAUAUUUAGUUUUAUCUUUUGGUAAAAAUUUUGGGGCAAGAUUAACUAAUGAGUAAGCUAUAUGUAUGCUUAAUUGUUUCCCUUAAUUUACUAUGGAACUUGUUAUAACUAAUAAUUUCUCUAUUAUUUGAUUUAACAAUUAUUCAUGAUAGUAACAUUUUGUUUAUGUCUAACACCAUUUUGAUUUUAUUUUUCAUUUGACUUGCUUUUUUUUCAUCUAUAAGUAUCAAAGAUAAGUACCAAGAGAUUUAUAAUAAUUCACGCAUCCGACUUAAUGAACUAAGAUAGACUCUCUCAAUAACUACCUUGAUUUCAAUAUUUUGUUCAUGCUUAAGAUUUUUUCGUUAAAAAAUAGCCAUAAUAAUUCUCUAUGCUCACACCUAAUAAUUUUUUUUUGCAUUAUAAUAUUUUAAUUUUAAAUCAAAUUAAUCUUAUUUUUACUUUUUUUUAUCCAAACCUCGUAAUUUUGGAAGGGGUAUAAUUGAUGUAGUGACGCCUGCCUUUUAUAAGAAAGGUCUUAUUGUGAAACAUGUGUGAAUAUUUAAACUGGUUUUCAAUUUUCAAAUAUAAUUUUCAAAAAAACACACAUUCAACAAAAUUGGAUCUAAAAUAAUUUUUAACUCAAUUUCAAAAUGAUAUUAAUGUAAUUUUUACUAUUCUAUCCUACUACCGUCGUCACUAUCAUCAUCACAUUUUUAUCACCACUUCCACCAUCAUCGUCACCAUCAUUCCACCGCAUCACCAUUGUCAUCAUCACUUGGAUCCUGCUACUUUCAUCGGCACCAUUAUUUUAUAGUGGAGCAAAAUAAGGUAAAAUAAUUGAUUCAUUUUAUUUAUUUUCAAUUUACAACAUCAUUUUAAAAACUAAAAACAAAGAAUAAACCGAAAUUCAAAACUAAAGCUGGUUUUAAUUUUAAAAAAUUUUAAAACUAAAACCGAGAAACUCAAUAAUGAAAAUUUAGCUCUAGAAAAGAUAAAUUGAUUUAAAUAGGGUCAUGACAAAAUUUUGCUAGCUUCUAUUUUAGUCUGCUUUGCUUUAGAAUAUUUACAUUCAAAUAACUCUUUUAUAACAAAACAAAAAAUAAAAAAACUAUUUAUUGAUUCUACAUAUAAAAAGAUUAAGUAUGCUAUUUUUUCGGACAAAAUUAUGGUGUGUUUGAUGAUGAUGUUGCAGGUUGUUUGUGCUGAAGAGGAAAUAAUGUGCAUUGAGAGGGAGAGGGAAGCACUCCUCCAAUUCAAGGCUGCCCUUCUGGAUCGCUAUGGCAUGCUCUCUUCUUCGCUGCAGCAACCUCACCUCCCAUAAUCUAAUGCUCGACCUUCACAAUUAAUGGAACUAUAAGUAUUAUAUUUUUCUCCUUUUCAUCAAUCAAAACAUAACCCAAAGAAAAUGUUGAAGUUACAUAGCCUGAGGAUAGAAUGCAGGAUUUCUAACAAACUCAUGACAUGACUCCUUAUGAUCAUUUUAAAGUGUUAAGAGCGGGGAGAUGUUAAGAUAGACGUAUCCCUGACCUAAUCAUAGAUGAAGGUUUGUCAUUCAGAAACUAGGAACAUGAACUACUAAUCCGUCAAAUUAUAUAAUUCUAAGAGAGUUACAUAAAUCCUUAUGCGUUGAUCUAAUUUUAAUCUAAUAAUUAUAAUUAAAAAAUUUACUCAAUCACGUGCCUCUGAUUCCAGCCUCCCUCAUCCCCACCGUCAUAAAAUUCUUUGUUCAAAACCUUGAUUGGUUGCCACGCAUCUCCCUCUGUCGUUCUCAAGGUUCCCAUAUUUUGCAUAUUUUCGAUUAUUGGUUCUUUACAAUUCAUAUAUAUUUUUCUCUCAUUUUUUUUAUGAUUCACAGCCGUCCACCUCCGUCUACCACUUACUUUCUCUUUUGGAGAUUCGUCCCCUAUCUUUCUUUUUUACAAUUUCUGUCUGGUUUUCAUUGGCACACCUACUUCUUGUGCAAGAGUUUAGCCAUUUUUGAAUGAAUUAAAGCUUAUUAACGUAAGGGAUCAAAAGAAUGAAUUACAUAAAACUAAUAAAAGGCCUUCUCCACAGCUGAAUUUUAAUUGGUAUGUGCUAUUUAUAUCAAUCUAACUCCAUUCUCUUAAUUUGAUUCCUCUCAAUUCAAGGUUAUUUUUAUGCUCUCACAAUUCAAGGUAGCAUCUUCACAAGCAAGUAUGCUUCAUCAAUUAACAAUUUUAAGGAAUAAUUAAGUUUUAGUCCUUUAUUUUUUUUAAAAAAAUUUAGAUUUUAGUUCUUAAAUAAAUAUUUAACUUGUCAAAUUCCUCAAAAUUUUGUUUAGUUACGACUUUUAGUUCCUGUCAUAUGAUGAAGUGGUGUCCUGGGAAACUGGCACCUGUCAUUUUUCCCAUUAUUAUUUUGUGAAGUUGAUAUGCUUGCAGCUUUUAACAGCUAGAAAUGGCUUCCUCACCCAACCAUGGCUCUGGACUGAUAAAAACAAAACCACUUAUUCGGUGACAAAGAUCCAGAUCAGGACCUCCCUCGUGGCUUUACCUUGUUAAUAUUCACGUUGAUUUUAACAUUCAGGAAAAUUCAUCAUCGCUCUCAAUUUUAUUUUAUUUUUUCUCUCAGCGGACACACCUCUCCAAUUCUCACUACCCUCUCUCAUAAUUUUGGUAGCAGACACAUGUUCAUCAGACGCACAUGCUGCUCUCACAUUCUAGCUAUAUGUAUCAUUUUUAGUAAUUUGACCAAUAUUAUUGAACACCCUUUGAUUUAUAUAUCAUAUCUUGAGAGUGGUAAGAAUAGAGACAAAGAGAUAUUUGAUUGAUGAUAUAAUAAGAAAACAUUAAUGUAAAUAAGCUUUUUGUGUUUUUCAUUUUGGAUUUUUUUUAAAAGUCUUAUUUUAGUGUUUUAUGUUUAGGAGUGAACCAUCUUAAUCCUUUCAUUAAUUUAUCAUUAACACUCUUUAUGUUUUAAAUUUUAAAAUAAUUAAUUUAUGAUAGAUUUUAGUCUACAACAUUUUUUCAAAUUAUAAAUAUAGGACCUACCACUGCUUCCUCCUCCACUUCAAAUAUAUAAAGCAAAAACACAAAAAAUAAUAAUAAUACAAAAACAAAAAUUACCAACUUUGAUCUUAUCCUAAUCUUCCAUAAUCAAUUACACAAAUGAAAUGAUUUUGCACCCCUAGCAAGGGUGCGGGGAGAAAUGGUAUCGGUGGAACAACAUAUUUCUUCUGCCUUAAAGUUGUUUCAAAUACAGAAACAACAUAUAAGAUAAUCAACCCCGACUCCUCCAAGUGGCUUCUCAGUUGUCAAAGCUUGGGUCAACCCUUCCACAAUGACCACUUCAUCCUCAUAAAUUUUAUAUAUAUUUUUUUAUAUUUGUAGUGUCCACUAUUCACCAAAUAACGCACAUGAUAAAAAGUUAUCAAUGUAACAUUUGUAACUUUAUGUUUGUGAUGCUUUAUUCUCCUUGUAUUAUACUUAAGUAUGUAUAUCAAACGCAUUUUUAAAGUACAAGAAAAUUAGCAUUAGUCAUGACUCAAUUUAUAUGUAAUUUAUCAAAAAAUCUCACUAAAAUUUUCAUGACUCAAGUAUUAGUGACAAAAAGAAAAUUUUGUCCCUUAAUGCUUUGACUUUUGUGGCAUUUCUAAUGUAAGAACUCUAUUAUUGAGUUCUUAAUUUUUUAUUAGUGAGUCCUUUGUUUAUGAUCGAGUACUCAGUACUCAUUUUACUCUAAUUAAUGGUAAAACUUAAUUGAUUUCUUAAUUUAUUUUUUUUAGUAGAUUCUAUUUUAUCUUUCCACUCACACAAGAAUAGUCUCUUUUAGUUUCAAAAUUAUUAUUAUUUUUAGUUAAAAAAUCUUGAUUGUAGUUGCUUAUAUAAGAAACUUCUAUACAAACUCCAUUAUAAGAACUUAUUUGUUCUAACAGUAUUCUCAAGUCACUUAAGCUUAAAAACCAACUUAAUUGCAAUUGCAUUGGAGUUGUUCUUAGAAAAAGAAAAUUAAUGAGUUUAAUUUUCAUUCAUAUUAUUGAUGUAAACAAAUAUAUAUUAUCAACCGAUUUCAAACUAUUUUGAAUAUAAUUUGUAAAUAAUUAUAAUAAAAUUUAACAGGUUUAUCAAUGCCCUAUUUAAUAAUCCAUCGUUUGAUUGAUAAUAUAAAAAAGUCUUUACAUUAUUAUUACAUUUUGCUUAAAUUAAAAUAUUAUCGGUGCAAAAAAUUAACUUACAUUAUGUAUGAAAUAUCAAGUUUAAUUUAUUGUUUUAUGUAUUGCGAUGACGGAAUUUUCGUAGGCUAGCUUUUUGGUGUUUUGUCUACAAAGUCGUACAAGGAGCCACCGACUCUAUAAAAAUUUCCACAUUUAUUGUUUUAAAUAAUAUUGUGAUGACAAUGUCUUUUCUAAAUUAAAGGAGCCACGCCGGCCACUUCAUAAAAAUUUCCACAAUUAUUAUCUUAAAUAAUGCGAUGACGGAGGCCAAUUAUCUGUUUUCCAGGGCCAACAAAUUCAUAUAUUCAAGAUGUAGAUAUUCACAAAACAUCAGAAAAUCAACACAAAAUCCAUGACAUCUAUGAAGAUUAAAUUAUUAUCAACAAAAUCCAUGACUUAUACAGACCAUGCAUAUGCAUUGAAUACUACUUAUACAUGCGUAAAAGUUACAUGUUUAGCUUGAUAUCAUCAAGAAAUUUUGUGUGGAUAAUUUUUUUAAAAGAUGUUUAGCUUCAUAGAAAAGGAGGAGCUCUGACAACAAAAAUGAAAGAAAAGAUGAGUCUGUAUGGGUAACAAGUGUGAGUAAAAGAAGCUCUACCAAAAAAAAUGAAUGAAAAAGGUUUAUUAUCUUUUUUAGUUUUUAAUGAAAGAAAAGACGAGUCUGUAUGAAUAAACCUUUUUAUAUUUUUGCUUUUAAUUUUUAAUAAUUGUUUUAGUGUUUUUGGUCAUUCUAAUUUUUCUCUGUUACCAGUUUUGGUCUUUAUUAACAAGUAACAAUUACUUAAAUAGCUUAUAAAUUAAAAUAAGCUAACUAAUAAGUUAUUAAUUUGUUUUUUCUUAAUUUUACCCUUUGUAAGAGACUAAAUCCUUUCCCUGUACCUAACUUUUCUUGGUAUUUUUUAAUUUAUAUUUAAUUCACAUAUUACAAAUUAAAAUUAAAAAAUUGUGUUUGAUAUAUAAUAGUUCGUCAUAUUUUUUUACAACAAAAUAAGAAAUAAAUAUAUCAAAUACUUAGAUCUUGCUUGGAAUUUUCUCCAUGGUUCAAUCCCUUCUCAACUUGCAGCAUCUUGAUCUCAGCCUCAAUACUUUUAAGGAAAAUAUACCAUCCCAACUCGGAAAUCUUUCCAAGUUGCAGUAUCUUGAUCUCAGGUACUAUUCUUUUGAAGGAAAUAUAUACCAUCUCAGCUAGGGAAAUAUUCAAGAUUUGAAAUUUUUAAGUAUGCGAAGGAAUCAUUUCAAUGAAUUUUACCACUACAAAUUUGUUAUCUCAGAAGCAUUCAACUCUUGGAUCUCUCACUAAACAACUUGUCCGGACAAAUUCCUAAGUGCAUAAAAUUUUUUGCUUCAAUGGCUCAAAAGAUAUUUUCAAGAGAUUAUCAAGGUCAUUUGUAUAAUGCCAAUGCCAGUAGUUUUUCAGGCGAUUCAUCAUAUUAUUUGAAUGCAUUCUUGAUGUGAAAAGGUUCAGAACAAAUGUUCAAUGAUAAUGGCUUAUCACUAUUAAAAAGUAUUGAUUUGUCGAACAAUCAUUUUUUAGAAGAAACCCCAGUGAAAACAGAGAAUUUAUUUGCAUUGGUCUCAUUAAAUUUAUCAAGAAACAAAUUGACUGGAAAAAUUCCUUCAAAUAUUAGAAACCUAAUUAAGGUCGCUUGAAUUUUUUGAUUUGUUAAGAAACCUGCUAGAUGGUUCAAUUCCUCAAAGUUUUACUCAAAUUAAUCGACUCUUCAUGUUAGAUAUUUCAAGGCAUGCCUUAAGUUCAAUAUUCACUUUUUAGUCGUGAAGUUUACAUGAGUAUGGGCAUUGGGAUUUAUUAUAAGCUUUUGGAUGAUGCUUGGCGGAAUCUUAUUCAAGCGUUCUUGGCAACAUGCCUAUUUCAGGUUCUUGAACAAUUUACGAGACAAUAUUUGUGCCAAGGUAGCAAUGUUCCGUAAUAAAAUAUCAAAGGUAGCUAAAGGUUAGCAUGCAUGUAAUAAUAUUAUAGCCCUUCCAUUUCUUUUGCUUUUCAUAUAGUUUAUGUAAGCAACUUGUCAGAUUUUUUUUUUAUAAAAAAAUAUAACUAUAAAUAAAAGCAGCUUUCUUCGUAUUUUUUUUUAUCGUUAUUAUGCAAUGAUCUCUAGUAAAUUGUUUAUAAAAUAUUAAUUGGUAACUUAUAUUUAAUAACUGAUAAAGUAAUAUUAUAUAGUGAAUUGUAACGGUAAGAUUUGAUGACUUUUAACUAUUUUUAGUAUAAUUAAUUUUGAAGAAGAAUAUGAUAAUUUCAAGUCAGAACAUAUUGAGAGAGAUACUAAUUUUGCAAUACAGUGGUUAACUUGUUUUCGUAACAAUAAAAUAAAUGAGAUUUAUUGUGAAGAACAAUUAAACGUGUAAAUGUAGCAUGCUAAAUAAUCAGGAUAAUGAUUUCUUGCUCGUUGGAAUGUUGGGUGCAUCUAGUGUUUAUAAUAAUAAUUAUUAUUAUUAUUUUAAAGUGUAGUUUUUUGUUUUCAUAAAUUAGAAAUUUUGUGUUUAUUAGUUUUUUAAUUAUAUAUUUUAAAUGUGAAUGUCAUUGCCUUACGAUAUACGGUCAAGUUUUUUGUAAUUUCUUGACCGGAGACUUUUCCAAGUCUUCCCCACUGAUGAGGUAGUGAAGAAGACCCUUUGGAUACUUGCAAUAAAUUAUGACUGCCCCAACUGUUGAGAAAGUGCCUUCCAUUAACCAUCCCGGUGUUAUAUAUAUGCAUGCCUAUUACCACUGCUAAACUCACCAAUAUCAUUCUAAUUCUCAUAUUCAGUGGAUUCAUUUCAUCAAUCACUUUGCCUUUCUGAUCAUAACCACCAAAAUGCCAACCAUUGAUCCUGUUCGUUUCAAAUUCAUGGAAGGCAUAAUAACAUUUAUGAUGAUGAUGUUGCAGGUUGUUUGUGCUGAAGAGGAAAUAAUGUGCAUUGAGAGGGAGAGGGAAGCACUCCUCCAAUUCAAGGCUGCACUUGUGGAUCCCUAUGGCAUGCUCUCUUCUUGGACCACUUCUGAUUGCUGCCAAUGGAAAGGGAUUCGCUGCACCAACCUCACCGGCCACUUCUGAUAUGCCUUCAAUCGUUUCACUGGAAUUGCCUCGCACCGUUAUAUCAGAGGAGAGAUCCACAAGUCGUUGAUGGAGUUGCAACAAUUAAACUAUUUAAACCUCAGUUCGAAUUCUUUUCAAGGCAGAGGAAUCCCAGAGUUUCUUGGUUCUCUCACCAACUUGAGAUACCUUGAUCUGUCAUUUUCUCAUUUUGGCGGAAAAAUUCCAACUCAGUUUGGCUCUCUUUCUCAUUUGAAAUACUUAAAUCUUGCUGGGAAUUAUUAUCUGGAGGGUUCAAUCCCACGUCAACUUGGAAAUCUCUCCCAGUUGCAGCAUCUUGAUCUCAGGGCCAAUCAAUUUGAAGGAAAUAUACCCUCUCAAAUUGGAAAUCUCUCCCAGUUGCAGCAUCUUGAUCUCAGCUACAAUUCUUUUGAAGGAAGUAUACCGUCCCAACUUGGGAACCUUUCAAAUUUGCAGAAGCUUUAUCUUGGAGGUCGUGCUCUCAAAAUUGACGAUGGAGAUCAUUGGCUGUCUAAUCUCAUUUCCUUAACCCAUCUUUCCUUCGACUCCAUAUCUAAUCUCAACACUUCUCAUAGCUUCCUCCAAAUGAUUGCCAAGCUACCAAAACUUAGAGAACUGAGUUUAAUUCAUUGUAGCCUUUCCGAUCAUUUUAUCCUUUCAUUGAGGCCCUCCAAAUUCAAUUUUUCUAGUUCCCUUUCCGUCCUUGAUCUUUCCUGGAACAGCUUCACGUCAUCAAUGAUACUCCAGUGGCUGUCCAACGUCACUUCCAACCUUGUUGAGCUUGACCUUAGUCAUAACCUCUUGGAGGGUUCCACAUCAAACCAUUUUGGCCGUGUAAUGAAUUCUCUUGAGCACCUCGACCUCUCAUAUAAUAUAUUCAAGGGUGAGGAUUUGAAAUCCUUCGCGAAUAUAUGCACCUUACAUUCUUUAUACAUGCCAGCAAAUCUUUUGACUGAAGACCUUCCAUCAAUCCUUCCUUGAUAAUUUGUCUAGUGGUUGUGUUAAACACUCAUUACAAGAAUUGGAUUUCACAUCUAAUCAAAUUACUGGCUCUUUACCCGACCUUUCAGUAUUCUCAUCUCUAAGAUCAUUGUUUCUUGAUGGAAAUAAAUUAAGUGGAAAGAUACCUGAAGGCAUCCGCUUACCGUUUCAUUUGAAAUCUCUGUCAAUCCAAUACAACUCUUUAGAAGGUGGAAUUCCCAAAUCAUUUGGGAACUCAUGUGCUUUGAGCUCACUGGAUAUGUCUGCUAACAAUUUGAAUAAAGAGCUUUCGGUGAUAAUUCAUCAAUUGUCUGGGUGUGCCAGAUUCUCGCUGCAAGAAUUGAACAUAGAAGCAAAUCAAAUCAAUGGUACGCUUUCUGACCUUUCAAUAUUCUCUGCCUUGAAAACAUUGGAUCUUUCAAUAAAUCAAUUAAAUGGAAAAAUUCCAGAGAGUACCAAAUUGCCAUCUCUGUUAGAAUCUUUGUCAAUUGGAUCAAACUCUUUAGAAGGCGGAAUUCCAAAAUCAUUUGGGGAUGCAUGUGCUUUGCGCUCGUUGGACAUGUCUUAUAAUAGCUUGAGUGAAGAAUUUCCAAUGAUAAUCCAUCACUUGUCUGGAUGUGCUAGAUAUUCAUUGGAACAAUUAUCUCUAAGCAUGAACCAAAUCAACGGCACACUACCCGACCUCUCAAUAUUCUCAUCUUUAAGAGAAUUAUAUCUUUAUGGAAACAAGCUAAAUGGAGAGAUUCCUAAAGAUAUUAAAUUUCCACCUCAACUGGAGCAACUAGAUAUGCAAUCAAAUUCCUUAAAGGGUGUGCUCACUGACUAUCAUUUUGCUAAUAUGUCUAAGUUAGACAUCCUGGAGUUAUCUGAGAACUCUUUAUUGGCCUUGGCAUUUAGCCAAAAUUGGGUCCCACCAUUUCAAUUGAGCUACUUAGGAUUGCGAUCUUGCAAGCUAGGUCCAGUAUUUCCCAAAUGGUUGGAGACACAAAAUCAAUUUCGGGAUAUUGACAUUUCAAAUGCUGGAAUAGCAGAUAUGGUUCCAAAGUGGUUUUGGGCUAAUUUAGCAUUCCGAGAAUUUAUUUCAAUGAAUAUUUCAUACAAUAAUCUCCAUGGUAUAAUUCCUAAUUUUCCAACAAAGAAUAUUCAAUAUUCCCUAAUUCUUGGACCAAAUCAAUUUGAUGGCCCUGUUCCACCAUUUCUGCGAGGUUCCGUAUUUCUUGAUUUAUCCAAAAAUCAAUUCUCAGAUUCUCUUUCAUUUUUAUGUGCUAAUGGUACAGUUGAAACUUUGUACGAAUUAGACCUUUCAAAUAAUCAUUUCUCUGGAAAAAUUCCGGACUGUUGGAGCCAUUUCAAGCCAUUAACUUAUUUGGACUUAAGUCACAAUAAUUUUUCAGGAAGGAUACCCACAUCCAUGGGAUCUCUUCUUCAUCUUCAAGCAUUGCUAUUGAGAAACAACAACUUAACAGAUGAGAUACCUUUCUCCUUGAGGAAUUGCACAAAUCUAGUAAUGCUAGAUAUUUCAGAAAACAGAUUAUCAGGGCUUAUCCCUGCUUGGAUAGGGAGCGAAUUACAAGAGUUGCAAUUUUUAAGUUUGGGAAGAAAUAAUUUCCAUGGAAGUUUACCAUUGCAAAUUUGCUACCUAAGUGACAUUCAACUCUUGGAUGUCUCACUAAACAGCAUGUCUGGGCAGAUUCCUAAAUGCAUCAAAAAUUUUACUUCAAUGACUCAAAAGACAUCUUCAAGAGAUUAUCAAGGUCAUUCAUAUCUUGUCAAUAUCAUUGGCAUGUCUGGUAGUUAUACAUAUGAUUUGAAUGCACUCUUGAUGUGGAAAGGUUCAGAACAAAUGUUCAAAAAUAAUGUGUUACUACUUUUAAAAAGCAUUGAUCUCUCAAGCAAUCACUUUUCUGGAGAAAUUCCACUGGAAAUAGAGAAUUUAUUUGGAUUGGUUUCAUUGAAUUUAUCAAGAAACCAUUUGACCGGAAAGAUUCCUUCAAAUAUUGGAAAGUUAACAUCACUUGACUUUCUUGAUUUGUCAAGAAACCAUCUAGUUGGUUCAAUUCCUUUGAGUCUUACUCAAAUUGAUCGACUGGGCAUGUUAGAUUUGUCACAUAACAAUCUAUCUGGAGAAAUUCCAACUGGUACACAAUUACAGAGUUUCAAUGCCUCAUGUUAUGAAGAUAAUCUUGAUCUUUGUGGACCGCCACUGGAGAAAUUGUGUAUUGAUGGGAAGCCUGCACAGGAACCAAUUGUUAAACUUCCUGAAGAUGAAAAUUUGCUUUUCACCCGUGAAUUUUACAUGAGUAUGGCAAUUGGAUUUGUUAUAAGCUUUUGGGGCGUUUUUGGCUCAAUCUUAAUAAAUCGUUCUUGGAGACAUGCUUAUUUCAAGUUCAUAAGCAAUUUCUCAGAUGCUAUUUAUGUCAUGGCAGCCGUGAAAGUUUUCAAGUGGCAUCACAGAGGAUAGCUGGUAAUAAUAUUUUAGUCUUCAUAUAUAUACUUCAUUUUCCUUUAUAUGAUAAAUAUAUAGCAGUCACAGACCUUAGUUUACAACUAGAUGACGUUUUUCUCUUUUGUUUUGACCUUUAGACCCUCAAUUAAUAAAAAAACAAGUAUUCAUCAACACGAACCUUAGUUUACUAUCACACUGCAGGUAAACAACUUGUAGUUCGGUUAAUAUAUGAUAUAUAUAUAUAUAUAUAUAUAUAUAUCUUUUAAUGAACUAGUUUUAACUAAAGAUGAACAAGCAGUUAUAUAAUAAUGAAAAAGAAAAGUUGAAAAAGAAAAGUAAUAUAAUCAAUUUUUGAUAAAUGUUUUUCUAAAAAGUAUAUAAUAAGUUCAAAGAGUCUAAUUACUAAUUAGUAUUAACUUCAAUGUGUUGGAGUUUUACAUGGGCAUCUAUUAAUAUUAAUAUAUUUAUCUUUAUACCAUUUCAUAUUAGUUAAAUAAAUUAAAGAAAUGAUUAUUAAUAUUGUUAUAUUAAAUUUAGUAGGUUAUAAAACUUCUUUACACUAACAUUUCAUAUUAAACAAAUCAAAAUACUUUUACCUAUUUUCUAAUCCCAAAAUAAUAGCUAUAUACAGAUAAAGUAUAUUUUUUUUCUUGAUAUAUAUUUUUUCUCCUUAUAAAUACUUUUACCUAUUUUCAAUCUCAUGUUCUACUUUUUGAUAUAGCUUUUAGUGUUGGUAAUUUUCUUGGCAUUCCAAUUUUUUCUCUAUUCUUUUAUUAUUUCUAGUUGAAGACAAAUUUUGAAGGAUCCAUAUUUUAAUUUUUGGCAGAAAAAUUCUGAAUUGUAGGUGCCAGCUUGUUGAGGUGGAAAAUGCAAAGAGACACUUUUAAUUUGGAGGUGAGAAGGCAUCUCUCACAAUUGGAUUUGGAGACCGAGAGAGAAUUAAGGAAGGCUUCUAGAGCUUGAGGGAGCCAAUUGUGAUUGUGAUCCAUCUAGUUUAUUUUCCUUUUUAAUUUCUAAGCAUUUUGUUUGUAGUUUGGUCUUUAAAUCUGAACUGGUUGUUUUGUAUGAAGUUGAUGAAUCUUCAUAAUAAUGGGAACUGAGAGGUUUGGUUAUUGCUUCUUGAUUUUUGGGUCAUACUCUUUGAUUACGUAGAAAUAGAAAACCGUGUUUGAUCUAGGGAUUUUGUUGUGCUUUUGUACAUUAGUCUCAUGAUUUCAUUUAAGGAAUUAAGUUAUAUGAGAUUAAAAGGAUUCAUUGCCAAGGAAUUGAAUGUGAAUUACCGCAGCAAAAACUGAUCUUAAACUUGGGCAAAGUUGUUUGGACUAGGUGGAAAUUGGGUUGUUACUUAAACAAUCCGUAAAAUCAAAACUUAACAGUGACAGGUGUGAGCACUAUGUCCCUUCUUGGAGCAGAGUUGGCAAAUAGUGUUGGAGUAGGAAGAGAUAAGAUGAUUGCCAGAUGGGUAAUGCUCAUGACGCUUGAGAUACAUCUCAUAGUUCUGCAAUUUAACAAAUACCUCAUCAAAAGAGGGCAAGGUGUUUUGCCAAUGACGUAGCCUUCAAGGUCACGAAUAAGCUUAGACUGAUACCAUAUAGAGAAUGAAUAAGUUGUUUAGAGAAGAUGACGAUCCACACGUCCUUUAGAGAAGAUGUGUGUGGUAGACUUGUGCUUUUCUGGGAAUCAUGAUAUCCCUGUGACAUUUGGGAUAUAGUGAGACCGUAUAAAACACUUAUGUCUAAAUUCGGGAACAACAAAUUCUAUCUUGAUAAUUGUAAAUUUUGAGUUUAAUUGAUAGUUAAUUUUAACUAAAAAUUUUUAGAAUUUUUUUAUUUUAAUAUUGUUGUGUUUAUUGAAAUAAUAAGGAAUUUAAUAUUAUAUUAAUUUUUUUACCAGCAGAAUUUAAUAUCAUGUAAUAUCAUGUAGUAACUAUUACUGCUACACUAUAUUUUAGUCAUGGUAGCAGUGAAAGUUUUCAAGUGGCGUCACAGAGGAUAGCUGGUAAUAAUAUUUUAGUCUUCGUAUAUAUACUUCAUUUUCCUUUAUAUGAUAAAUAGCAGUCACAAACCUUAGUUUACAACUAGAUGGCGUUUUUCUCUUUUGUUUUAACCUUGAGACCCUCGAUUAAUAAAAAAAAUAAUUAUUCAUCAACACGAAACUUAGUUUACUAUCACACCUAAGGUAAACAAGUUGUAGUCCGGUUUUCUUCUUAAAAGAAGACUAGCUAGAACAUGUAUGAUAUAUCUUUGAACGAACUAGUUUUAACUAAAGAUGAACAAGCAGUUACAUAAUAAUGAAAAAGAAAAGUAGAACAUGCAUGCAUGUUUGUUUUGCAUUUCCGAAAUCCAGAUUAGAUUGUUUAUAAAAUACUAAUUUUUAAUUUAAUAUUCAAUAAUCAUAUGAUGCUUGAAAAUAUAUAUUAAAUGAGUUGUACAUACACAUUCGAGGAAUCUAAAUCUUGAUAUUUUAAAUAUUCUUAUCUCAAAAUGUCUUUUAAUAUGAUUACAAAUCAUCUUUUGGAAUUUUGUUAAUCCCGUAAUAUAAUCAAUUUUUGAUAAAUGUUUUUCUAAAAAGCAUAUAAUAAUUUCAAAUAGUUCAACGUAUUGGAUUUUUACAUGGGAUCUAUUAAAAUUAAUAUAUUUAAUUUUAUUUAUUUUCAUACCAUUUCGUAUUAGUUAAAUAAAUUAAAGGAAUGAUGAUUGUUAUGUAGGUUAUAAAACUUCUUUACACUAAUAUUUCAUAUUAAACAAAUUAUAAUACUUUAACCUAUUUUAUAAUCGCUAAAUAAUAACUCAAUAUAAAUAACGUAUAUUUUUUUUCUUGAUAUAUGCUUUUCCUCCUUGUAAGUUAUUAAGUUUAAAAUAGAGAAUAAGUUUGAGGUAGUUUUUCUAUCUCAUUAUCUACUUCUUUAUAUAGCUUUUAGUCAUGGUGAUUUUCUUGGCAUUUCAAUUUUUUCUUUAUUCUUUUAUUACUUCUAGUUGAGGGCAAAUGUUGAAGGAUCGAUAUUUUAAUUUUUGGCAGAAAAAUUCUGAAUUCUAGGUGCCAGCUUGUGGAGGUGGAAAAUGCAAAGAGAUACUUUUGGAGGUGAGAAGGCAUCUCUCACAGUUGGAUUUGGAGACCGAGAGAGAAUUAAGGAAGGCUUCUAGAGCUUGAGGGAGCCAAUUGUGAUAGUGAUCUAGUUUAUUUUCCUUUUUAAUUUCUAAGCAUUUUGUUUGUACUUUAGCCCUUAAAACUGAACUAGUUGUUUUGUAUGAAGUUGAUGAAUCUUCACAAUAAUGAGAAUUGAGAUGUUUGGUUAUUGUUUCUUGAUUUUUGGGUCAUGCUCUUUGAUUAUGUAGAAAUAGUAAACCGUGUUUGAUCUAGGGAUUUUGAUGUGCUUUUGUACAUUAGUCUCAUGAUUUCAUUUAAGGAAAUAAGUUAUAUGAGAUUAAAAGGAUUCAUUGCCAAGGAAUUGAAUGUGAAUUACUGCAGCAAAAACUGAUCUUAAACUUGGGCAAAGAUGUUUGGAGUAGGAAGAGCUAUGAUGCUUGCCAGAUGGGUAAUGCUAACUGCACCCUCUGGUAGAGUGGUGUGAGCAGCGGUGAUUGGCAAAGUUGGCACUGAUGGAGGAGUGGUGAUUGAAGUGCUCAUCACGCAAUCAGAAAUAUCCUAACAUCAAAUAUGCCUUUAUUCCACUGCCCACGCAUCUUCUAGAAGACACGAGGCUAUCAUAUGGUUUGCGCUUUUACUACGUAUGGUGCAUGUAUGCAUGAUGCAUGAUGCAUGAUGCCAACCAUGCUGUACGUUCCUUCCUCUUGGACCUUUGGUGCUUACUUCCUGCAGACCCCCCUGUGUCAUUCGUACCCCCUGGUGAAAUCCGUAUCAAUGUCCUUCAUUCUCUCCUGCUGUAUUAGCUCUCUAACAGGUCGAUAAGCCGCAGUGAUGCACAAAUUCUGUUCACAGAAAUUAACAUCAAUUUAUUUUCCCAAAAAAAAUAAAACCAGUAAAUCGCCCCCAAAAUUCACCUUAAGAUCACUUCCAGUAUAUCCUUCUGUCAUGGUUGCCAGCUCUUUGAAGUCUAAGUUUUCAUGUUUUUCUUUAGCCAAAAGAGUCUUCAAGAUCAUUUCCCUGUUCUCAACAGAUGGAAGACCAACCAAGAUCCUGCUCAACAAUAAAAAGGUGAGUGUUAUGAUUCACAAGUUACAAGAGCAAUAAUAGUUGAACUAAAAAGCAUUAAAUAUUGAUGUUGCACAGUUGAAAACACUUGAUUUUAUUGUAUCCAUAAAAGACAUCUGACAGACUCAAUUUGUGAACAAUUUAAAUGCCAAAUUAAGAGGCAAGAACUGUUGCUAAAAGAGUUAAGGCAAGCUACAGAAAGAUAUCUGUCUUCAAGGGGGGGCAUAUGGUAUUGUCAGCUAUAUAGAAAAUAAGAAUAGACACCUCAAAAGGAAAUUGAUGAAAUGACCACUUGUUAUGAAUUUUCUUGUUUUCUUAUGGUCAAACAUAUGCUCAUCAUAAUGAUGGAGAAAUGCAGUCUUUGUUCUGAUUGCAAAAAUGUUGUUGCUGAAUAGAAGCAACACAUGAUCAUGCAAACAAUAAGACAAAGGUGUGGUCCUACCUUCUCUCAAACCGUCUUAUGAUAGCUUCAUCAAGGUCAAAUGGCCUGUUGGUUGCUGCAAGAACCAAAAUUUGCUCAUUAGGUCCUGUUAAUAGCCCAUCCCAGUGUGUCAUGAAUUCAUUUUUAAUCUUCCUCAUAGCCUCAUGCUCUCCUACUCUAGUCCUCUGUCCAAGCAUGCUGUCAACCUCGUCAACAAAGAUAAUUGUUGGGGCAACCUUAGCUGCCAGUGUGAACAGAGCUCGGACAUUCUUUUCAUCCUCUCCAAACCAUUUUGAUGUGAUGGUUGACAUUGAGACAUUAAUGAAACUUGCCUUCCUGGAACAGACUCAAUCCCACUACUCCAAGCAUACCUCGUUAGAUUCAUUAGUCUUCAGAUUCCCACUACUCUUGCCUUCCUGGAACAGACUCAAUCCAUGGGACAAGCUGUUCACAUCCAAGAUCAGUAACUAGAAAAUCUGGUCACGUAAUUGAUGGUGUCUUUACAUAGCCAUUGGACAAGUAUUUACCUAUUUGCUGAUAUAACUAGCUUUCCAUUUCCAGUUCGUUUGAAAUUAAUGGUGUGUGUAUAGUAAUUUGUUUAUAUAUAUAUAUAUAUAUAUAUAUAUAUAUAUAUAUAUAUAUAUAUAUAUAUUAAAAGAGAUAUUAUUUUUGUGAUACAAUGGCUAAGUUGUUUUCAUAAAUUAUAAAAGAAAUUUAAGAUUUAUUACCCAUUAAUAACUAAAUGUGCAAAUGUAGCAUGCUCAUUAUGUAGGGUCACGAUUUCUUGCUUGGUUGAGUGGUCGGGUGAUCUAGUGUUCAUAUUCAAUACUUUAUUUCAAUAAAACUAUGUCCUAUGUAAUCUUUUAAAAUUUGGAUGAAAAGUUUUGAUGAUAAUAAAAUAAAAUAGAGAUAUAAUUAGAGAAAAUAAAUUGUGUACUAACAAUGUUAAAUUAUUUUAUACAUGUCAUUCAUUUAUUUAGUGAUGUGUAUAUGAUAAGUUUGUGAAGUUUUACAAAAGUUAUAUUAAAAUUAAUUAAUAAUAUAAAACUAAAUAUUCAAUACUUAAUCAUAAAACAUUGAUGAUCUUCAUUAUUACUAUAAAUUUUUUUCUUAUAAAUUAUUGUGAUUUUAAUCUAUCGUUAACUUUAUGUUAUUAUUCUUCUUACUUCAAUUUCAACAAAUUUCUUUUUAUAGGUAUAAGAAUUUUAUUUAUUUUUCAUUUACACAUUUUGGAAACUAACAUUCUGUUUUUUUUUUUUUUAAUUUUCAGUCUCUUGAAGACACUAGUCCUCUUGCAUGACCCCAAUGUCUAAGCUUGUUAUUGCUUGGAAAAGGCAAUAAGUUGGAAAUUAUGAUUGUUUUAUAUUUUUUCAGUAUCAAUUGAGAUACUUAUAUCAUGUUUCGAUAAUUUUAAAAAGACUCUAGUUAAUUUUAAAAAGACUCUAGUUUUAUUAGCAUUAUGCUUGUAAUAAAAUAUAAAUUACAAUGUAUUAUAUCAAUAAUUUGUGCAUAUUUCUCUUAAUCAAAAUUUUGGUUUUGACAAAAACAGUAUUGAGCUAAACAUUUUGCCAAGGGCCUCAUUUUCAAUAUUUUAAGAAUAAAAAAAUUAGAAAAUUCCAUGCACAUAUUUUGUAUGAAUGAAUCUAUCAUCAUCAUUUUGUCAUAAUUAGACAAAUAAUUUGACACCAUAUGUUUCAAUUAUAUGGAGAUGGCUCCAAUUUUCAAACUAUGCAUGUCUUUUAUUUUAAGAAAGAAACAAUAAUAAUAAUAUAUAUUAUUAAUUAUUAAUCUAUACUAAUAAUAAACAAAAUAUCUCAAUUUGGUAUCCAUAUUAAAUUAGAUAAUUUUACCUUUAAAUCAUUUUUUAAAUUUUAAAAAAUUUCUUCUAACCUACUAUAACUUUCCACUACUAUAUUAUUAAUAUUUUUUUAUUCUCACGUUUUUUAUUAAAUAUAUUUAAUUUUUAUCUUUUUAAAUUUUUUUUCUUAUUUUUUAAAAUUUAGAAAGACGUGAUCUAUCCUUUAGUUCUUAAUUUAAGAAUACCCUUUUAGUGUCCAUAAAUUUUAGACGAUUAUAUUCUUUAUUAAUUAGUCAACUUCUGUUAUCCUCUCCUAAUAACUAUCCACCACUCUUAUGUUAGUUAUUCUAUCCACCACGAUUAUUUUCAUCAAUCAAAAUAUAACCCAAAGAAAAUGCUGAAGUUACAUAACCCGAUGAUAGAAUGCAGGAUCUCUAACAAACUCCUGAUAUGACUCCUUAUGAUCAUUUUAAAGGGUUAAGGGCGGGGAAAUGUCUGAAGUAGUAUAAUUGUGAAAAGUUAAUAUUGUGACUACACAUUUGAUGUUGUGAUAGAUGUAUCCCUGACCUAAUCAUAGAUGAAGUUAGAUUUACAAAAUUCGAUUGAUGUUGCACAUCUGGAUAAGCAGUACAGUUUAAAGACAAUUCGAUUUACAAAAUUCUAUUGUCAUAUAUAAUACAGCAUACCUAAAAUGUUUGGAGUAAUAUAUUCCUACUUCCUACAAAGCCAUUGCAUCUUCCAAAACCAUGCAUGACAUAACAUAAAUUCUCUAAUACUGGUGCUCAUUGGUUUGUAGACAACUCAAACCAAAACCGAGAACCCAUUCCUAAACAUAAUGCAUGAUGAUCUACACGUCCUUUAGAGAAUAGAUGUGUGUCGCAGAACUUGUGCUUUUCUGGGAAUCAUGAUAUCUCUGCGACAUUUGGGUUAUAGUGGGACAUCUAGGCAUGCUUUGAGUUCAACAUCUCUGGUGAAGGACUCCUUCCUUUGUUGAAAUGUAUCAUUGAAGAUGAAUGGUCGCAAAUCCAAUAAUAAAAUUUCUAGGUUUUAAAAAUCCACUUUUAACUAGUUCAUUUUAGUCCUCUCCGAACCAUUUUAAUGUGAAUGAUGGUUGACAUUGAGACAUUAAUGAAACUUGCACAGCAGCUUCAUUUGCAAUUGGCUUUGCCAGCAUUUUAUUUGCAGUACCAGGAGGCCCAAAAAGCAAUAUACCUCUACAUGGCUUUAUAUUAGAAGCAUUACCAACUCUUGAAGUGAUUAUUUGAUCUCAUCCAAUGCACCAACAUCUGCAAGUCUAACCCCUAUUUCGUUUUCAUGGAUAAGCUCUGGUCUUAUACGCUUCUCAAACUCGUUGUCACUUGUCAAGAACUUCCUGCAAGCAAGCAAUUACUAUAUAUAAGUUUAAGUAGACAAGAAGCACAGAAAAGUGCAAACUACAAUUGUUCCAUCAUCUAAAAGAGGGUGACGCUCUAAUCUGAAAUAUAGUGCUAUGUUUAACCAGAAAACUAAUAUGAAUGAUAACAAAUCAACAAUAAGUGUUACGUGCACGGUGCACAUAAUAAGCACUAGGUAACAUUUGUAUAACAAAAUAAGCUAUCUUUGAUCACAAAAAGUACAAAUUAAAGUGUGCUAUCAAAUUCAUUGUUUGAUCUACUUCAGAAAAAAAAUCACGAACUUAUCAGGAAAGAUGCAUCACUCAUGUUGCCGAUUCAUUUCAUUUCAUUGAUGAGCUUCUUUGUCGCCGAUGAGAUCCUUAGAAUUUUGUUGUUGAUGUUUGUUGCGCUAUCAUUUCAUUUCGUUUUUAGUUUAUCAUCACCUUCCUCGUUGCAUUUUCAUUUUUUUAACUCUGCCAUCGCCCCACCGCCGUGCAGCUGUGCUGCCUUCGCCCCGCCGCCAGGCCCCUGUGCAAGAAGCGUCAGGGCCCGCGCCACCCUCCAUCGUGGUACCCACCUUUUCUGUGCCCUUUUGAGGCUUAGGCACCAAGGGUUUUCAAACCCUUGUGCUUACUUUCGGGUUGGGCCGGGUCAUUUUAACUUCUAAUCUAAGCCCAAUAAAAAAAGCCGAAAAAAGAAAAAAAAUGUUGAACGGCUUAGUUUAUUAAGUCUGAAACAAAAACAAAAGUUAUUUACACCCUAUUUUUACACAUACACCUUCUUUUAUUUUGGACCUAGUUCAUUUUUGAGAAGCCUAAAAGAAAAGAAAUACUGCUAGCCAUACACAACUCUUUUUGCACAUACACCCUCUUUCAUUUCGGCUUAACUCAUUUGCUUAAAUCUGAAAUAAAAUAAAUAUCGCUGCCUUUACACAUACACCCCUUGCAUUUUGGGCCUAGUCUGUUUUCAAGAAGUCUUAGAUAAAAUAAAUAUUGCUAGCUACACCCCUUUCUCCAUGUAUGCUUCUCAAUGUAUGCAAUUUGACUUUGACCCUAAAUUAAUAAAUGAAUGAUAAUAAUAAUAAUAAUAAUAAUAAUAAUAAUAAUAAUAAAUUGAUAGAAAACUCUUUAUUUUUAUUUAAUUUUUCUAAUUGUCUCUAUUAUUUAUCUUAUUCGUCAAUUUGAUUGUUUCUUCAUUCCCCAAUUAGUUAGUUUAAGUUAUAAUGUGCUCUAAAUAUCCCGCUACAUAUAUUAUUUUCCCCCACAUUUCAACCCCGUAACCUUAAUUACUUAGUAUAUUUUUCACUUUUAUUCUAUCUUUUUCUAUUCUCAUUCGAUUUAUUUGAUUAGUUAACACUGUUAUUCAUUUAUUUUUGCAAUUUUGCAUUAGUAUUCAUUGGUAUGCACUUACGUUUUGUACACUACAUGUUGAGUCUCUGAUUUGCUUGAUAGUAUUUCAAUAAAAUAUGAGUAAAUUUAGUAAAUGUCAUGACUUUACAAAGUUUACAGCAAACCCAACAUCUUUUCUAAAGAGGAAAAAGAAUACUCAAAUAAAUAAUCAAUCAAUUUAUCUUUUUUAUGUUUUGUGCACCUCAUGUUGGAUUUUCGACUUACUUGAUGAUGUUUUAAUAACAUGUGAGUAAAUUUUGCUAAUGUCGUGCAAAGUCUCCAACUUUCUUGACUUCCUAACGUUUAUCACAACCAAAAUCUUUUCUAGAAAAGGGAGUAAAAAUAUUCAAAUAAAUAAACAUUCAAUUCUUUUUUUUCUCAAUGAAUAUUACACAUUACUCGAGAUUGUUUCAAUGCCUUAAGUGAUUCUCUCUAUUAUUUUUUUGAAAUUUAAUAUUAUUUCAAGGUCCAAUACUUUAAUGAUUCUUAUUCACACAAUUAAAUACAAAUCAUUCAAAAGAAGAUAAAAUCAACCAACACACAAGUUAUUUUUUUUUACCCAAAGAACUAUAUAAGUAUGAUUUCCUCAUUACACCUGGGGAUAUGUAUAAGUGAGGGAAAACCCCUUGUUGACCUAAAACACUAGGAAAUAAAAACAUAAAAUUUCUUCUUUACUAAAAAUAAAGAAUUUCUUUCUUUUUUUAAAUUAAACAAAAUAUAACAAACAUAAUUCAUGUUCUCAAGGGAAGAUAAAUACUUAAGAAGUUGCUUUUAUUUUUAUUAGAGUGAAUUAAAGGUUGUUAUCAUUAUGACAGAUACGUGAGGUGUUAAUACCUUUCACGUACAUAAAUAACUCCUGAAUCCUUUUUUUUACCAAAUUGUAAAUCAUUCCUUUUUUUUUUCCGAUGUUUUUCUUAAAUAAACAUUGAUAGCGAUUCUCAAAUUUUCUUUUGAAAAACUCACUCAACCGCCGCAUUGUGACAAUGACAAUAUUAUUUACAAAAGAAAUUAUAGUAAUAAUAUGUAGUGGAAAACACAAAUCAUAUUUCUUUUUUUAAAAAAAGAGAAUAAAUUCAUAUUUCUUGUUUUCAGUGUUACUUACAAAAAUGUUACUUUUGAUUCCUAUUCUCAAAAUUUCAAAUAAGAGGGGAAAAAGUUGUAAAAAAAUAUACCAAAAAAGUUAUAAUUUUUUAUUCAAAAAAGAUAAGAUGUUACUUUCAUGUUUGGUUUGGUUUAAAAUAAAAAUUAUGAAACUUAAAACUACAACUUAUAACUGAUUAUCAAGAAAUAACAAUAGGUUUGGGCAAUAGGCUGAUGCAUCAGUAAUAAAAAGCUAACAACUACCAAAUUCUAAUUCAGGAUGUAAACAAAACUCAACCUGAAUUGGAUUAGAAUAAAAAAUACCAAAACUAAAGUAAUUAAAAUCCUCGUUCAAGUAUACAGUAUACACAUCUAGAGAAACAACACCAAAGUUUCAAGAUACAACCAUUAAGUUAAUUCCGGUUCAAGUUGUCAUUUCAGCAAACACUAUAAUUUUCAAAAGCAAAAACAAUUCUCCCUAAUUACCACCAAGUUUGGUUGGCGACAAACCAUAUAAGUUUGAAUGGUUAAAGACUUAGGAUUUUCUUUGGUGCAAGAUAUGAAGAUCAAUAAAUAUUAUCUGGAUUACGAAUUAUAUACUAUGGCAGAUUUAAUAAUAAAAUAGUCUUAUCAUUCUUAUAAUUAAAAGAAAAAAAUAUGUUAUCUUUUAUUUUUUUAUAUAAGACCAUACGUAGGUAGUAUAUUAUACAGAACUUACAUAAGCACCACUUUUGUUGACACAGAAUUCCUUCAAAAGAAAUUAUCAAUCAAAAUCAAUGAAUUAGUAAUAGUCUGUAUAUUACGUUAGCAAAAUAUAGACAAAGGUCAAUGUGGGUAUCUUGCGAAUUUUCUAAGUCUUUUUGUUUUGUUCCCAAGUAUAUGGGUCAUGUCAAAAAAGAUAAGACGUUUUCCUUAAAUAAACAUUGAUGACGACUUCUCAAUUUUCUUUUGAAAAACUCACUUGACCGCCACAUUGGGACAAUGACAAUAUUAUUUACAAAAGAAAUUAUAAUAAUAAUAAUAAUAUGUUGUGGAAAACAUAAAUCAUAUUUCUUUUUUUUAAAGAAAAUAAAUUCAUAUUUCUUGUUUUCAGUGUUACUUACAAAAAUGUUACUUUUGAGUCCUAUUCUCAAAAUUUUAAAUAAGAGAAAAAUGUUGUAAAAAAGUAUACCAAAAAAGUUAUAAUUUUUUAUUCAAAAAAGAUAAGAUGUUACUUCCAUGUUUGGUUUGGUUUAAAAUAAAAAUUAUGAAACUUAAAAACUGAUUAUCAAGAAAUAACAAUAGGUUUGGGGAGUAGGCUCAUGCAUCGAUCAGUAAUAAAGAAAAAGCCAACACCUAUCAAAUUCUAAUUCAGAAUGUAAACAAAACUAAACCUGGAUUGGAUUAGAAAAAAAAAUACUCAAACUAAAGUAAAAUCGUCGUUCAAGUAUAUAGUAUACACAUUUAGAGAAACAACACCAAAGUUUCAAGAUACAACCAUUAAGUUAGUUCCGGUUCAAGUUGUCAUUUCAGCAAACACUAUAAUUUUCAAAAGCAAAAACAAUUCUCCCUAAUUACCAUUACCAAGUUUGGUUGGUGACAAACCUUAUAAGUUUGAAUGGUUUAAGACUUAGGAUUUUUUUCUGUGCAAGAUAUCAAGAUCAAUAAAUAUUGUCUGAAUUAUGAAUUAUAUACUAUCACAGAUUUAAUAAUAAAGUAGUCUUAUCAUUCUUAUAAUUAAAAGAAAAAAAUAUGUUAUCUUUUAUUUUUUAUAUAAAAGACCGUACGUAGGUAGUAUAUUAUACAGAACUUACAUAAGCACCACUUUUGUUGACACAGAAUUCCUUCAAAAGAAAUUAUCAAUCAAAAUCAAUGAAGUAAUAGUCUGUAUAUUACGUUAGCAAAAUAUAGACAAAGGUCAAUGUGGGUAUCUUGCGAAUUUUCUAAGUCUUUUUGUUUUGUUCCCAAGUACAAAGUCUAUUUAUGGGUCAUGUCACUUCACAAAAUUUUCCACAUUUGUUGUUUAGCGCAAUGACUGGAAUCUUAAAUUCUAAGUCUUUAUGGUUUUGUUUGGUUCCUACAUAGUCAUAUAAAUGGUCAUGUCACUAUAAAAAAAAUUUCACAUCUAUUAUUUUUGUAGGUAGUGCGAUGACUGGAGUAUUUUCUACGUCUUUCUUUGUUUUGUUCCAAUGGAGUCGUGUAAGGACCAUAUUACUUAUAAAAAAAUUUUAUACUUAAUUGUUUUUUAUGUAAUGUGAUGUUGAUUGGAGUGCUUCUUAAGUCUUUCUUUGUUUUGUUUCCGGAAAGUCAUACAAGGGCAUGCCACUUAAUAAAAAUUAAUUUCCAAUUCUCUGUUUGCAAAGUCAAUAAAUUUAUUCUAGAUGAAGAUAUAUAAUCACAGAACAUUUAGGAAAGCUACACAAAUGGAUGAGAAGAUUUAGAAGUUGUUGCGGAAGAUGCUGUAAAGGAAAAUACUUGAGGAAGCUCUGUUAUGAAUUAAAAUUAAAAAUGAGACCAAAUAAAUUCAGACACGACAUAGGCUUCUCUUGGUAUUUUUUAAUUUGUUAAGUAUAAGGAAUACUUUGUAAUUAACAUAUUCUGAAUCCAACAUAUAGCAAAAAUUGAUGAAAUAGAAAAUUCCUCCCUGUGACGUAAUAGAACUGCAAAUGAUGUAACUAUGAUAAGUCUUAUGGCACAAAAUAUUAAUAUGAACACGUACUCAAUUUGUAAUUCCUUAGAGAUUAAGGUGUAUAUAUAUUUCCAAAAAAAAUGUCAAGGUAGGUUAAAAAGAAAAAGAAAGGGGUGUAUAUAUAUUAAGUUUUAAUCUCAAUGAUAUAUUAUUUUUAAUCUUAAACCAAUAUUUUUUAUUUUUUGUUUCAAUUUUAGUCUUCAAACCGAUCUUUCUCUUAAGAUUAUGAUAUGACUCAUCUCCACUCAAACAAAUAAAACACACAAUAGACUUUAUUUUGAAUCUUUCUCCCCACACAGACAGAAAAAAAAAAGGCUCACACCAUUCACAUUUUUACAUGUAUAAUAGAAUAUAGUGGCUUUUUCCAAUUUUUGAAUGUCAUUACUAUUUUUAAGUACGAUAUUCUAUUAGCUAUAUUUUUCAAUCAUAUAUUAUUUUCAUGAAAAUUGAUGAUAUAUUUUUUCAAGUCCUAUUAAUUAAUAAAUUUAUUCUAUAUUUGAUAUUUGAUAUAUUGAUGUAUAGUAAUAAUAAAAUUAUAGCCAAUUAAGAAUUUUAAAAAUUGUAGAAAGUAUUGAUUUUUGGUGUGAAUGGAAUUGUUUUAAUAUAUUGAAUAUUUUAGUUUUUCUCUCAAUAUUCUCUUCUUCCUUUUUUUGAAUAUAUAUAUAUAUAUAUAUAUAUAUAUAUAUAUAUAUAUUCUUCUUCCUUAAGAACAUGAACAUGCUCACUUUAAUAAAAAAAAUUAUUUAUGGGUCUAUUGAUAUCUAGGGCAAAUAGAUUAAUUAACUUUAGAUUUGAAUGCCCUCUUCAAGUAUGAUAUACUUUUUUAAACCUAAUUUUUUCUUCUUCAAUAAGAACAUGGUCACUUUUUCCAACUAAACCCAAUUUGAAUGCCAAUUCAAGCACGGUAUGAUUUUAAUGUCAAUUACAUAUAAUUUGAAGUCCUGCACUUGUUUAGGAUGAUUUGGAUGAAAAUAAAUUGGGAAGAAGUGAAGGAAAAUGAAAUGGAAACUUUUGGUUUAGAUGGGAUGGAAAUUAAAAUGAAGUAAAAAUAAAUUUAUUGGAGUCCAAAAAAAAAAUCCUCAAAAACAGUGGUGAAAUGGAGGAUUAUGUUUGAAGUAAUAUUAAUUUUACGGGAGGAUUCCUAAAUAAUAUAAAAUUCACUCAUUUUUUUCAUUUUUAUUUAUAAAAAAAUAGAUAAAUUUUCCACUUCGUUUCUCUCUUAUUUCUAUCUUUUUUUUUCUCUUUCAUUUUUUUCUAUUUCAUCUCUAAUCCAAAUAAAGUGCAAAAGUAACGGAUGAGUUAAUCUUUUUAAAAGUUUUUUUUUCUUUCAAAGUGCUAUUUUUUGCUUUCAUAAAUUACAAAUUUUGUGCUUAUUAAUUUUCUAAUUAUUUUAAAUAUGAAAUUGCAUUACUAUAUACGAUCAACUUUAUGUGACUUGUUGACUGGAGACUUUUCCAAGUCUCCCUUGAUAUAUAUGGUUUAGAAUGUUACAUUAUUUUUAAGUCUUUUUUAUUUAUUUAUUUGGUUAUAUAUUAAAUUGAAAAAUAAAAAGAAAAGUGGGAACUUAACUAGGAACUGUGCUGUUGUUGUGUGGGAACCUAAGUACAUUUUAGCAUCUUUAAACUGAAAACAAUUUAGUCAAAAUGCGUAACAAAAUAUAGGUCAAGUAAUUAGUGGACAAAAUCUUGCUGUCACCAUAGAUUUAGGUUGUAUUUAGGUCAAUUACUUAAAAUAUUGUUAAUUGAUAGUUGAAACUUUAGAUGAAAUUAAAAAGUUUGAAUUAUUCUAAAAAUAGUUGUGGUAGAAGCAAACAUGACCACAGAAGUCCUAACUAUUAUUUAGACGUGUUAUAGUACCACCAAUACGAGGUCUGAUUGGAAAUUAGCUGUGUGUCGAACCCAUCUCAUAGCGUGCAUGCGUGCUCCAAAUCUCUUUAACAAAUUAAAUACCAAGCUUUUUUUAUCCAAUUUCUUCUUUUUUAUCUUUUGUUUAUCCGUAAGAAUCAAAGAUAAUAACAAAAGAUAUAUAAUAAUUUAUAAAUCUUAUUCAACCAGCUAAACUAAAUCCCCUAGCUAUCCAAAUCCGUUUAACUUUUAAAUAACAAAAUAAAAGUUAUACACACUUUUAUAUUUCAACAUUUUUACCAUUAUUCAUAGUUUUAGUUACUUGUUUAUAUUUUAGAAACGUCAUAAUACUUACGUCUUUUGCUUUUAUAUUUAUAACAUAAAUAUAUAGAAUAUAACAUGUAUAAUAUAAAUAAUAUAAAAAGAGCUGAUAAUUAAAAAAAACGGGAAAGAAAUAAUUAUAAAAUAAACAUAACUAAUCAGACUAUUUGCAUCAAAAGAAAUUAUUUGAAUAUAUUUUACAUACUUGGAAGAAUUUAUGAGUGGCCCAACCGUUGAGAAAUGUGACUUCCAUUAACCAUCCCGAUGUUAUAUAUAUGCAUGCCUAUUGGUAGUGCUAAAGUCAUCAGUAUCAUUCUAAUUCUCAUAUUCAGUGGAUUCAUUUCAUCAAUCACUUUGCCUUUCUGAUCAUAAUCACCAAAAUGCCAACCAUGAAUCCAGUUCGUUUCAAAUACAUGCAAGCCAUAAUAAUAUUUAUGAUGUUGCAGGUUCGUUCAUGUUUUCUCAUUUGAAUGUAUUUGUGAAAAUCGCAAUUCAAAUCUCAUUUGAUUUCAAUGAAUUUCAAUUUCCUUAAAUUUUUAUUCACAGUUUUGUCAUUUUUUUCUUCUUAAAAUAGAUCAUUCUCCUAUGUUUUGUUCAUUGUUUUUUGGGUUCAUAAUGUUUCGGAUUGAAUUAGAGGUUGAAGCACCGUUUGUUUUGCCCCCUUAUUUUUUGUUUUCAAGGUUGAAUCAUGAUAUAUGUAGAUGUUGAACCAUCAAAUAUGAUAGUGGCAACAAGGCAUAAAUAGUGAUGACAAGGAUAAUGACAACAACAAUAAAGACAAAGACAAUAAUAAUAUUACAUUCUAUGUUUAUAAUUAAGUUUUAAUCUCAAUAUAUAUUAUUUUUAAUUUUAAUUCAAUAAUUUCAAUGAUAUAUUAUUUUUAAUCUUAAUUCAAUAAUUUUCAUUUUUCCCAUUUUAACCUUCAAAAUGAUCUUUCUCUUAAGAUUCAAAUAUAAUCCAUUUCGACUUAAACAUACAAUAAAUUUUAUUUUCAAUCUCUCUCCGUACGCACACACAAAAAAGGCUCACACCAUGCAUACACUUUUUUAUGUGUAGAGUAGAAUAUAGUGGCUUUUUUCAAUUUUUGAAUGUCAUUACUCUUUUUAAGUUCUAUUAGCUAUAUUUGUCAAUCAUACAUUAUUUUCAUGACAAAUUGAUGAUAUAUUUUUUCAAGUCAUCCCUUGAAAGUGUCAUAGUAUUAAUUUUUUAUUAUAUUAAGGAGUACAUAUUUUGGUUGAUAUAUAAGACAAAUAUAAAAUUGAUAUUAAGAAAUUUAUUUUAUAUUUGAUAUUUAAUAUAUUGAUGUAUAGGAAUAAUGAAAUUAUAGCCAAUUAAGAAUUUUAAAAAUUAUAGAAAGUAUUGGGUUUUGGUGUGAAUUUAAUUGGAAUUGAAUUGUUUUAAUUUAUUGAAUAUUUUAGUUCUUUUUUCUCAAUAUUCUCUUCUUCCUUUUUUUAAAGCAUAUAUAUAUAUAUAUAUAUAUAUAUAUAUAUAUAUAUAUAUAUAUAUAUAUAUAUAUAUAUAUAUAUAUAUAUAUUUAAUAAUAAAAAAAUCAUUUAUGGGUCUAUUAGUAUCUAGGACAAAUAGAUUAAUUAACUUUAAAUUUGAAUGUCCUCUUCAAGCAUGGUAUAUGUUUUUAAACCCAAUUUCCUCUUCUUCGUUAAGAACAUGGUUACUUUUUUCAACUAAACCUACUUUGAAUGCCACUUCAAGCACGUUAUGAUUUUAAUGUCAAUUACAUAUAAUUUGAAGUCCUCCACUAGGAUCAUUUGGAAGGAAAUAAAUUGGGAAGAAGUGAGGAACUUUUGGUUUAGAUGGACUGAAAAUAAAAUGAAGUAAAACAAAUUUAGUGGGGUAAAAAAAAUGAAAUGGGAACUUUUGAUUUAGAUGGGAUGGAAAUGAAAAUGAAGUAAAAACAAAUUUAGUGGGGUCCAAAAAAAAAUUGAUUCCUCAAAAACAGUGGUAAAAUGGGAGGAUUUUGUGAGAAGCAAUAUUGAUUUUAUGGGAGGAUUCCUAAAAAAAACACUCAUUUUUUUACUAUUUCUAUUUAAACAAUAUAAAUUCUCUACCUUGUUUCUCUUUUAUUUCUAUCUUUUUUUCUCUUUCAUUUUUCUCUAUUUCAUCUCUAAUCCAAACAAAGUGCAAAAGUUACGGAUGAGUAAUCUUUUUAAUUUUUUUAAAAAACUUUUUUUUUGCAACUUCUUGACUGGAGACUUUUCCAAGUCUUCCCUUGAUAUAUAUCGUUUAGAAUGCUACAUUAUUUUUAUUUAAUUGGUUAAAUAUUAAAUUGGAAAAUAAAAGAAAAAUGGGAACAUAGCAGCAAUUGUGCCAUUGUUGUGUAGUGAUAGUCACUUUUACUAAUAUAAUAUAUAUAUAUAUAUAUAUAUAUAUAUAUAUAUAUAUAUAUAUAUAUAUAUACACUACAUUAGUUAAGUACAUUUUAGCAUUUUUAAACUGAAAAUCUUUCGGUCGAAAUGCAUAACAAAAUAUGGGUCAAGUAAUUAGUGCACAAAAUCUUGCUCAUAAUUUUUGCCACCAUAGAUUCAGGUUGUGUUUUGGACGAUUACUUAAAAUAUUGCUAAUUGAUAGUUAAAAUUGUAGAUGAAAUUAUAAAGUUUGAAAGUUGAAAAGUUAAAAACUGAAAGCUAAAAAUAUAUAAGUCAAUGGAUUCAAUUAUAUUUGAAGUAUUUUAUAAUAUUAUCUAAUAAAUAAAUUUUCUCCUAACUUCUCUUUUAAAUAUAUACCAAUUUUAUUGGUUAAUGUUUGUAAAAAAAUAAUAUGAACUAAUAAAAUUGUUACAUAUUUAAAAGAGAAGUUAGGAACAAAAUUUAUUUUAAAAUUAAAAUAAAAAUUCAAUGGCAUUUGGAUGAAAGUUUUCGUUCAAAAAUUUCCCUUAAAAUAAUUAUUUUUCUAAAGUGUUGUAUGCCGAACCCAUUUCAUAGCGACCAUGUUUAUAUGCUUCAAAUCUUUUCAGCAAAUUAAAUACCAAGCUAAGAUUUUUCUUUUAUCCAAUUCUCCCCUUCUUCUCCUUUAUUUUUUUUAUCUAUUGAAAUCAAAGAUAAUAUAAAAAAAUUUAUAUUAAUUUCCAACUAAUUAAAUUAACCCCCUAGACUAUUCAAAUUAUUUUAACUUUUAAAUAACAAAAUAAAAGUUAUACACACAUUUUUAUUAAAAGUAUGAAUAUCUAAAACUUUUUUUUACUGUUAUUUAUUAAAAGUAAAAAAUAAACUCCAGUUGGUUUGAAAUUCAUGGAAGGCAUAAUAAUAUUAAUGAUGUUUCAGGUUGUUGUUUCUGCUCAAGACCAUAUUAUGUGCAUUCAGACUGAGAGGGAAGCACUCCUCCAAUUCAAGGCUGCACUUCUGGAUCCCUAUGGCAUGCUCUCUUCUUGGACCACUUCUGAUUGCUGCCAAUGGCAAGGGAUUCGCUGCACUAACCUCACCGCCCAUGUUCUAAUGCUCGACCUUCACGGUGGUGAGUUUAAUUAUAUGAGCGGAGAGAUCCACAAGUCGUUGAUGGAGUUGCAACAAUUAAAGUAUUUAAACCUCAGUUGGAAUUCUUUUCAAGGCAGAGGAAUCCCAGAGUUUCUUGGUUCUCUCACCAACUUGAGAUACCUUGAUCUGGAAUAUUGUCGUUUUGGCGGAAAAAUUCCAACUCAGUUUGGCUCUCUUUCUCAUUUGAAAUACUUAAAUCUUGCUUUGAAUUCUCUGGAGGGUUCAAUCCCUCGUCAACUUGGAAAUCUCUCCCAGUUGCAGCAUCUUGAUCUCAGCGCCAAUCAUUUUGAAGGAAAUAUACCCUCUCAAAUUGGAAAUCUCUCCCAGUUGCUGCAUCUUGAUCUCAGCUACAAUUCUUUUGAAGGAAGUAUACCGUCCCAACUUGGGAACCUUUCAAAUUUGCAGAAGCUUUAUCUUGGAGGCGGUGCUCUCAAAAUUGACGAUGGAGAUCAUAGGCUGUCUAAUCUCAUUUCUUUAACCCAUCUUUCCGUGUUACAGAUGCCUAAUCUCAACACUUCUCAUAGCUUCCUCCAAAUGAUUGCCAAGCUACCAAAACUUAGAGAACUGAGUUUAAGUGAAUGUAGCCUUCCCGAUCAGUUUAUCCUUCCAUUGAGGCCCUCUAAAUUCAAUUUUUCUAGUUCCCUUUCCGUCCUUGAUCUUUCCUUCAACAGCCUCACGUCAUCAAUGAUACUCCAGUGGCUGUCCAACGUCACUUCCAACCUUGUUGAGCUUGACCUUAGUUAUAACCUCUUGGAGGGUUCCACAUCAAACCAUUUUGGCCGUGUAAUGAAUUCUCUUGAGCACCUCGACCUCUCAUAUAAUAUAUUCAAGGCUGACGAUUUCAAAUCCUUCGCGAAUAUAUGCACCUUACAUUCUUUAUACAUGCCAGCAAACCAUUUGACUGAAGACCUUCCAUCAAUCCUUCAUAAUUUGUCUAGUGGUUGUGUUAAACACUCAUUACAAGAUUUGGAUUUGUCAGAUAAUCAAAUCACUGGCUCUUUACCCGACCUUUCAGUAUUCUCAUCUCUAAAAUCAUUGUUUCUUGAUCAAAAUCAAUUAAGGGGAAAGAUACCUGAAGGCAUCCGCUUACCGUUUCAUUUGGAAUCUCUGUCAAUCCAAUCAAACUCUUUAGAAGGUGGAAUUCCCAAAUCAUUUGGGAACUCAUGUGCUUUGAGAUCACUGGAUAUGUCUGGUAACAAUUUGAAUAAAGAGCUUUCGGUGAUAAUUCAUCAAUUGUCUGGGUGUGCCAGAUUCUCGCUGCAAGAAUUGAACAUAGGAGGAAAUCAAAUCAAUGGUACGCUUUCUGACCUUUCAAUAUUCUCUGCCUUGAAAACAUUGGGUCUUUCACGAAAUCAAUUAAAUGGAAAAAUUCCAGAGAGUACCAAAUUGCCAUCUCUGUUAGAGUCUUUG
rnacentral:lncRNA from 1 species